rnacentral:rRNA from 1 species
UACGAAGGGGGCUAGCGUUGUUCGGAAUUACUGGGCGUAAAGCGCGUGUAGGCGGGUCUUUAAGUCAGGGGUGAAAUGCCAAGGCUCAACCUUGGAACUGCCUUUGAUACUGGAGAUCUUGAGUCCGGGAGAGGUGAGUGGAACUGCGAGUGUAGAGGUGAAAUUCGUAGAUAUUCGCAAGAACACCAGUGGCGAAGGCGGACUCACUGGCCCGGAACUGACGCUGAGACGCGAAAGCGUGGG